rnacentral:rRNA from 1 species
GGGUUGUGAGGUUAAGCGACUAAGCGUACACGGUGGAUGCCCUGGCAGUCAGAGGCGAUGAAGGGCGUGCUAAUCUGCGAUAAGCGCCGGUAAGGUGAUAUGAACCGUUAUAACCGGCGAUACCCGAAUGGGGAAACCCAGUGUGACUCGUCACACUAUCAUUAACUGAAUCCAUAGGUUAAUGAGGCGAACCGGGGGAACUGAAACAUCUAAGUACCCCGAGGAAAAGAAAUCAACCGAGAUUCCCCCAGUAGCGGCGAGCGAACGGGGAGGAGCCCAGAGCCUGAAUCAGCAUGUGUGUUAGUGGAAGCGUCUGGAAAGACGCGCGAUACAGGGUGACAGCCCCGUACACAAAAGCGCAUGUGUUGUGAGCUCGAUGAGUAGGGCGGGACACGUGGUAUCCUGUCUGAAUAUGGGGGGACCAUCCUCCAAGGCUAAAUACUCCUGACUGACCGAUAGUGAACCAGUACCGUGAGGGAAAGGCGAAAAGAACCCCGGCGAGGGGAGUGAAAAAGAACCUGAAACCGUGUACGUACAAGCAGUGGGAGCACAGGUUUACCUGUGUGACUGCGUACCUUUUGUAUAAUGGGUCAGCGACUUAUAUUCUGUAGCAAGGUUAACCGAAUAGGGGAGCCGGAGGGAAACCGAGUCUUAAUUGGGCGUUAAGUUGCAGGGUAUAGACCCGAAACCCGGUGAUCUAGCCAUGGGCAGGUUGAAGGUUGGGUAACACUAACUGGAGGACCGAACCGACUAAUGUUGAAAAAUUAGCGGAUGACCUGUGGCUGGGGGUGAAAGGCCAAUCAAACCGGGAGAUAGCUGGUUCUCCCCGAAAGCUAUUUAGGUAGCGCCUCGUGAACUCAUCUCCGGGGGUAGAGCACUGUUUCGGCUAGGGGGCCAUCCCGGCUUACCAACCCGAUGCAAACUGCGAAUACCGGAGAAUGUUAUCACGGGAGACACACGGCGGGUGCUAACGUCCGUCGUGAAGAGGGAAACAACCCAGACCGCCAGCUAAGGUCCCAAAGUCAUGGUUAAGUGGGAAACGAUGUGGGAAGGCCCAGACAGCCAGGAUGUUGGCUUAGAAGCAGCCAUCAUUUAAAGAAAGCGUAAUAGCUCACUGGUCGAGUCGGCCUGCGCGGAAGAUGUAACGGGGCUAAACCAUGCACCGAAGCUGCGGCAGCGACACUCAGGUGUUGUUGGGUAGGGGAGCGUUCUGUAAGCCUGUGAAGGUGUGUCGUGAGGCAUGCUGGAGGUAUCAGAAGUGCGAAUGCUGACAUAAGUAACGAUAAAGCGGGUGAAAAGCCCGCUCGCCGGAAGACCAAGGGUUCCUGUCCAACGUUAAUC